CCCAGGGCAGCCUCUCUCUCCCUUUCUCUCUCCCACCAAGCCUGCAGCCCAGGCGCUUGGAUGGAAAGCGAGUUAUCUAAUGAGAAUCGUGUUAACUGGCAUUCCGGCGACUAUGGGCAAAUACGGGGCCGCUGUAAAGCUCACCGUAGCAAUUCUCUCCAGGAGAAUAACAAUAGCACCCGGACGUGUUGUCACGAAUUCUGAGAAUGUCACUGGCCAAGCAAAAUGCUCUCAGAGCGUGGUUAUCCACAAGGCUUCCCCGCCCAGGCCAUCGCAGCACCUGCCGCGACUCUGCUCGACUGCAGGGUGCAGGGAGCCUCUGCGGGCGUAAUGAGCACCCAAGUGUGUCGCCAAAUGGGAACUCUUUCGACCACCGGUAACAAACAGCAAAGUCCAAGUGAAUGGAGAACUGGUCUCCCCGCACCCAUCCAACGAAACAUCCUGGCUGAGCGGACAAAAGAGUAUUGUUCCAUCAUGGAAGAAGGCAAAGGCAAUUUAUUUGUGUGCUGAGGCCGUGUUUAGAUGUCUGUGAAAUAUCACUGAUCAGCUAGACGUCUGCGGGUUUGGAGCAGGAUUGUGGACAUUCCCAGAGGGACACGAAGGAAAAGACAUCAAACAGCCAUUUAAAAAAAAAAAAAAAUGGUGGCUUCUUAAAUUCCACAUCAUCUCAUUUGUUUCUUUGAAUUUGUGUGCAUAUGCAUGCACAAGGGCCCACGCAUACGUGGGUAUGAGCGUGUGGAGGAUUGAAGUCAACCUCAGACUCCAUCCACUAUAUUUUUUAAAACACGACCUGUCACUGGCACAUGGAGCCAGUCCAGCUCGCCCAGUGCUUCCCACAUGAUAGGCCAGCAAUGUGCUACCGAGCUACACUCUCGGCCCUUAAUCACUCAAAAAUAAAUUUUGAAAAAAAAAAAAAAA